UCUCUGGUGGUGUAUCGGUUAGUACACGCGCCCUGCAUGAGUGGAACUAGUGGGUUCGACUCCCAGCCAGAGAU
rnacentral:tRNA from 1 species